UACGUAGGGGGCAAGCGUUGUCCGGAUUUAUUGGGCGUAAAGAGCGUGUAGGCGGUCAGGUAGGUCCGUUGUGAAAACUCGAGGCUCAACCUCGAGACGCCGAUGGAAACCAUCUGACUAGAGUCCGGAAGAGGAGAGUGGAAUUCCUGGUGUAGCGGUGAAAUGCGCAGAUAUCAGGAGGAACACCUGCGGUGUAGACGGCUUUCUGGACCAUUGUUGACGCUGAGACACGAAAGCGUGGGUAGCAAACAGG
rnacentral:rRNA from 1 species